rnacentral:piRNA from 1 species
CACUGAGUGUGAUCACUGAUGUC